GCACUCACUUUGGCAGCACAUAUAUUAAAACUGGAACGAUACAACGAAGAUGAACAUGGCUCUGCACGAGGAUGACCCUCAUAUCUGUGAAGUGUUCCACCGUACG
ensembl:snRNA U6 U6 spliceosomal RNA